GUUACAGCAGCCGCGGUAAUACGGAGGGCGCGAGCGUUGUUCGGAAUCAUUGGGCGUAAAGCGCGUGUAGGCGGCUUGGUAAGUCGAGUGUGAAAGCCCGGGGCUCAACCCCGGAAGGUCGCUCGAAACUGCCUCGCUAGAGUCCCGGAGAGGAAGGCGGAAUUCCCGGUGUAGAGGUGAAACUAGUAGAUAUCGGGAGGAACACCAGCGGCGAAGGCGGCCUUCUGGACGGUGACUGACGCUGAGACGCGAAAGCGUGGGGAGCAAACAGGAUUAGAUACCCGAGUAGUCC
rnacentral:rRNA from 1 species